ACACAUGCAAGUCGAACGGAGCACCCUUGACUGAGGUUUCGGCCAAAUGAUAGGAAUGCUUAGUGGCGGACUGGUGAGUAACGCGUGAGGAACCUGCCUUCCAGAGGGGGACAACAGUUGGAAACGACUGCUAAUACCGCAUGACGCAUUGAAGGGGCAUCCCUUUGAUGCCAAAGAUUAUAUCGCUGGAAGAUGGCCUCGCGUCUGAUUAGCUAGAUGGCGGGGUAACGGCCCACCAUGGCGACGAUCAGUAGCCGGACUGAGAGGUUGACCGGCCACAUUGGGACUGAGAUACGGCCCAGACUCCUACGGGAGGCAGCAGUGGGGAAUAUUGGGCAAUGGGCGCAAGCCUGACCCAGCAACGCCGCGUGAAGGAAGAAGGCUUUCGGGUUGUAAACUUCUUUUGUCAGGGAACAGUAGAAGAGGGUACCUGACGAAUAAGCUCCGGCUAACUACGUGCCAGCAGCCGCGGUAAUACGUAGGGAGCGAGCGUUGUCCGGAUUUACUGGGUGUAAAGGGCGUGCAGCCGGGCUGGUAAGUCAGAUGUGAAAUCCGUGGGCUCAACCCGCGAACUGCAUUUGAAACUGCUGGUCUUGAGUACCGGAGAGGUUAUCGGAAUUCCUUGUGUAGCGGUGAAAUGCGUAGAUAUAAGGAAGAACACCAGUGGCGAAGGCGGAUAACUGGACGGCAACUGACGGUGAGGCGCGAAAGCGUGGGGAGCAAACAGGAUUAGAUACCCUGGUAGUCCACGCUGUAAACGAUGGAUACUAGGUGUGCGGGGACUGACCCCCUGCGUGCCGCAGUUAACACAAUAAGUAUCCCACCUGGGGAGUACGAUCGCAAGG
rnacentral:rRNA from 1 species